rnacentral:rRNA from 1 species
ACGCUCGACACCUACGGGAGUCAGCAGUGGGGAAUAUUGCACAAUGGGGGAAACCCUGAUGUAGCGACGCCGCGUGAAGGAAGAAGUAUCUCGGUAUGUAAACUUCUAUCAGCAGGGAAGAAAGUGACGGUACCUGACUAAGAAGCCCCGGCUAACUACGUGCCAGCAGCCGCGGUAAUCUGAGCGGGCUGGCAAGGC